CUGAUACUAGUCCAUCAGUCCCUCCUCAGACUCCCGCAGCCACAUGCAGUGAUGCAGAGUGCAGGAAGAUCACCAGUCUUGAGCGUUUUCUCAGCCCCCAGUGCCUGUCAGCAUCCACAUGAGCUGCACCUGGUGACAGUGCCAGGUGUCCCAAGGGCAGCAGGGCGAGGGCGGCUGACAUGGGCUUGGCAUCUCCAUGGGUAUGCUACCACUGAUGUGUGUCCCCUCUGUCCCACAGGCACACCGUGUCAGGCUCACCACUGACCAUUUCCUGCUCUUGGCCGUCACGGGUGGUGGCCACCUUUGGACAACGUGUUCAAACCAAGUGUUCCUCCCACACUGGCUGGCUGUCCUCCUCCCAUGGGUCAGAGGACGUCGCUGAGUGACCAGCUCAGGUCCCCCGGCACCAGAGGCAGGCCGCUCUCAGCCAUGGCUCACUCUCCCUUAGCCUGCGGGUGAAAGGCCCGGUCCACUCAUACAGCAGCAGGGGCAGCCGCCUCAUGCCAGGUCUGAGCCGCUGUGGCAACCACGGCUUCCUUCCAUCUCCUCGCGCUCACAGCCUCUCCGCUCUACCCGCGCGAUGUCCUUCUCCAAGGACCAGUCUCUCCUGACAACUUGUCCAGAGUAGGUGAGUCUGAGUCCCGCCCCACCGGCCUCUCAGGAGCAUCCGGCUGUGCCUCUUCAGGACGAACUGGUUUCUUACUCUGAGCAGAUGCUGCGGCUCACAGGUGGGGUGAGGGAACUGACCAGAGGACGUCAUUGGGUGACUGCUGGAGGACCAGCCCGCUUCCCUGGCCGCCUCAGAAAGCCCCGCUGGCGGCUAUUGAUGUCAGAGUGUACUCGUGUGUACCCAGAAUCAGGACGUUGUGAUUAACCUCGCUAUUCUUUGAUAUGGUUCCCUUUUAUGUUUCAAUUAAUCCACUAAUUUUGCUUUCUCUUCUGUCAUGCGCUUGCUUGAGCCGCUAACAAAUGAGCCAAGUAAUUUUGUGGGUUUGUCUGUAUAAACUCUCUGGUCAUCUCACUUGGGGCUGCAGUUUAGGGAAACCCCUUUAGUUUCCUUGCAGUCCAGCUAGAUGAAUAAAGGACUCUUAAAAUUUCCAGA